rnacentral:rRNA from 1 species
GUGGCUCCAGUACGAGAGGAACGAGUUGUCGGCGCCUCUGGUCGACCGGUUGUCUGAUAAGGCAUUGCCGGGCAGCUACGCGCUAGGUGAUAAAGGCUGAAAGCAUCUAAGCCUGAGGUAUCCCCUGAAAAUAGAUUGCUUUUGAGGACGCGAGUAGAAGACUUGUUUGAUGGGGUAGGGAUGUACGCUUCGAGGUUUUUUUUCCGAGUUGUUUAGUCCGCUACUUCCAAUUGUUCGCUUGCAUUAUUUU